AGCUCCAAUAGCGUAUACUAAAGUUGUUGCGAUUAAAAAGCUCGUAGUUGGAUCUCAGGCAUGGGCGCACGGUCCGCCUCGCGGCGGUCACUGUGUGUAUUGUUUCCCAUCCUACGCUUCCCGGUUGUUCAGCCCAUGGUGCUCUUGACUGAGCGUUUUGGGUGGCCGGAACGUUUACUUUGAAGAAAUUAGAGUGUUCAAAGCAGGCGCGUCGCCUGAAUAAUGGUGCAUGGAAUAAUGGAAUAGGACCUCGGUUCUAUUUUGCUGGUUUUCGGAACACGAGGUAAUGAUUAAGAGGGACAGACGGGGGCAUCCGUAUUGCGGUGUUAGAGGUGAAAUUCUUGGAUCAUCGCAAGACGAACAACUGCGAAAGCAUUUGCCAAGCAUGUUUUCAUUAAUC
rnacentral:rRNA from 1 species